UACGUAGGGGACUAGCGUUGUCCGGAAUCAUUGGGCGUAAAGCGCGUGUAGGCGGUUCGGUAAGUCCGCUGUGAAAGUCGGGGGCUCAACCCUCGAAUGCCGGUGGAUACUGUCGGACUAGAGUACGGAAGAGGCGAGUGGAAUUCCAGGUGUAGCGGUGAAAUGCGUAGAUAUCUGGAGGAACACCGGUGGCGAAGGCGGCAUCCUGGACCAACACUGACACUGAUGAGCGAAAGCCAGGGGAGCAAACGGG
rnacentral:rRNA from 1 species